CGCAGCCUCCAAACCCAGCAUCCGGGAGCUGUGGGAAUGGCCCCAGACGUGGAUGGCCUCCUUUUGAUCAGACUGCUCCUGACCCUGAGGGGCACGAGAAACCACUGUGGAUUCCCCUGGUGGCUCUACCCCCGCCACUCACAGAGCUCAGGGACCUACUGAAAUAAAGAACUCAAAAGCUCCCCCAGGCCUCCAGAGGAUCUCUGAAGCGUCUGAGAGCAACCGGGAAGUUGUUUCCUCCUCGCUCUGGCCCUGUACCCCGCCUUUGAUUUCCCUGUGACCUUUGACAGUCGUCUUCUGGCCGCCUGAGAUAAGGGAACUGUGUCACUGCUGCUCUGAGUGAUAGCAAGGAAGUGAUGUCAAGAUGCUGAGACCUGCCAAGACCCUCUGGCUUGUGGCAUGUGACACUCCGAGUAGGUGACAGGUAUCAGCUACCGUCAGCAGAGAGGAAUGUUCAUGGUGACCACAAGUCCAGACCUGAGGGUCCUGAUCCUCUAACGUGGCCUCUCACCAGUGUUUACAGAAGCCCACCGGCUGAUUCGAUAUGGGGACCAGGAAGCUGCCGUGAGAGUCACAGCUUCCCUCUUGUCUGGAGGAAAAAGGAAAAAGGGAACCAGACUUAGACACAACUUCUUGUGGGCACAUAUUCAGAAGGCAUUUCACUGGAGAGGAUUUAGUUCUCCUUAGCAGAAGAUAAGAUUUCAGGAUUUCAGCUAAGACUCAUCUCUCUGCACAUCUUUCUUUUGAGAGAAUCUGUUAGAAAAUGUAAAGAAUCAAGGAUAUUAGAGGUAGAAGAACAUUUACAUUCAUCUAGUCAAAAGCCCACAUUUGAGUAAAAGAAAUUACUAUCCAAGAAGCAAAUGAUUUGUACAAGAUCACAGGGCUUUUCAACAGUAAGGCUAAAAAGCAUCUUCACCAGGAGGAGAUUCCAUCUCAAGGGACCACUUUCACUGCUCAUCUGUGAGAAGCAACUCUUCAUCUGUUCAAGUUUGAUCAUGAGAGUGCAGCAAUUCAGUCACAACUUCAGGCUCCACUUCUAGUUCUAGUUCUCUUGCUGUUUCCACCACAUCUACAGUGACUUCCUCCACUGAAGACGUGAACCCCUGAAAGUCACCUAUGGGGUUGGAAUCAAUGCCUUUCACACUCCUGUUAAUGUUGGUAUUUUGACCUCGUCCCAUGAAUUACAAAUGUUCCUAAUGGCAUCUAGAA